AUUGAACGCUGGCGGCAUGCCUUACACAUGCAAGUCGAACGGCAGCACGGGUGCUUGCACCUGGUGGCGAGUGGCGAACGGGUGAGUAAUACAUCGGAACGUACCUUAUCGUGGGGGAUAACGCAGCGAAAGUUGCGCUAAUACCGCAUACGCCCUGAGGGGGAAAGCGGGGGACCGUAAGGCCUCGCGCGAUUAGAGCGGCCGAUGUCUGAUUAGCUUGUUGGUGAGGUAAAAGCUCACCAAGGCGAUGAUCAGUAGCUGGUCUGAGAGGACGAUCGGCCACACGGGGACUGAGACACGGACCAGACUCCUACGGGAGGCAGCAGUGGGGAAUUUUGGACAAUGGGGGCAACCCUGAUCCAGCAAUGCCGCGUGAGUGAAGAAGGCCUUCGGGUUGUAAAGCUCUUUUGUCAGGGAAGAAACAGCAGCUCUAACACAGUCUGCGAAUGACGGUACCUGAAGAAUAAGCACCGGCUAACUACGUGCCAGCCGCCGCAGUAA
rnacentral:rRNA from 1 species